rnacentral:rRNA from 1 species
UGCCAGCCGCCGCGGUAAUACGGAGGGUGCAAGCGUUGUUCGGAAUUAUUGGGCGUAAAGCGCGUGUAGGCGGUUCGUUAAGUCUGAUGUGAAAGCCCGGGGCUCAACCCCGGAAGUGCAUUGGAAACUGGCGAACUUGAGUACGGGAGAGGAAAGUGGAAUUCCGAGUGUAGGGGUGAAAUCCGUAGAUAUUCGGAGGAACACCAGUGGCGAAGGCGGCUUUCUGGGCCGUCUCUGACGCUGAGGUGCGAAAGCUAGGGUAGCGAACGGGAUUAGAUA